ACAAAUCGACGACCUCACAAUCGAACUUCAGACGAAUUUCAUGAAGAAAACAGAAACUGAAACUAUUCAAAUCUCAACUAAUUCCCAAACACUAUUGAAGAAACGAAGACUGGGCAGUGAAUAGGAUUUACGAACGAAUUUCGACAGACCGAAACUUCGACUUAAAGCUUUGCUUCUUUGGGGACCUUUUACGUGCUUGCAUGAGAGGAUCGAAGAGAUGUUUUGCUGUGAUUCAGCGCCUAUUUUUCAAGUGGCUUAAUGGCCGUUUCUACAACUCUUUUGAGGUGGUGUAAGUGAGGUUUCAGGUGAGUUUAAGGUCCUUUCAUGGCUGCCGUGGAGUUGUUUUCCGA
rnacentral:lncRNA from 1 species